AUUGCUAGGACAAAGGGUCUACAAAAUGUUCAGGCCUUUGAUAUCUGUUGGUAAGAUACAACUUUUAACAGGUAUAUAGUAAUGAACAAUUCCAUGUUGACUUUUUUUUCCCUUUCCCUCAUACAGGACCCCUUAAUCUUCUCACUGGCUCUACCCAUCCUCUACCGUUUUCUAACUGGAAAAUUCCAAGCCUAAUCUUUCCUCACUGCCAUUUCAGUCAUUCAGCAACAUUCAACAAGUAUGUGUUGAACACCUACAAAAUUCCAAGUUCUGGAGAUCCACUGAUGAACAAAAGAGAGCCUUAUGCUUGCAGAACUUGUGUUCUAGUGGGAAGAUACAGAUAAGAAAUAUAACAGUCUCUGGCUCUCCCCACCCUGCUCUAUGCCCUGGGAGACUGAGCUGUAUGAACUCCAUCCAGAGUCUUCUUUGCCCUGUUUCCCAUUGGGUUUGGCCAAAGGAGUUUCCCAUUGAGUUUGGCCAAAAGGAAUACUGGCAAGGGAUCUGACAGAAGGAGAAGUGUGACCCUCAGACCUGAGUGGUGACAACUCCCUGCUCUUGCCAGCCCCAGAGUACCACGUUGGACCUGACUGAUAGACUGGAUGCCGGCUGUGAAUGAAAGUGGAGUUAAGGAUGGCUCCUUUGGCUGCAAGCAAGGUUCACCAGGUUCUCCCCUUCUACACAACUCUGUGAUCCAAACCUGGCCAAGGCAACUUUGGGAGCUUCAUUCCCCUUGGCAGUACCCGAAGUGCAUAGAGCUUCUAAAGAGUAAAAGGUAAGGGUAAACACAGCCAUACUUUCCCACCCCCGGGUCUUCCAGACAAAGCCUGACAGAGAAAGAACACUGGACUAGGAGUCAGGAAGCUCCCUUGCCUGGUCUCUGUGGAGUAACUCCCUGAACAAGCGUUAGCAAAUGACUGCUCAGAGCUUCAGUUUCCUCACCUCUAAAACCAGUAAUAAUGAAACCUAACUCAGAGACUUGUGGGUGAAGAUCAAAGAACAGUGCUGGCUCAACAGCAUGUGGUCUGGUGUGUGAGCC